rnacentral:misc_RNA from 1 species
GAAAUGCGAUAAUUAAUGUGAAUUGCAGAAUACUGUGAAUCAUCGAGUUUUUGAACGCAAAUGGCGCUCCACGGGGUUGCCCGGGAGCUUGUCUGUUUCAGUAUCGUUUAUCAAUUCUCAACUUCAAUAGCUUUUUCUUGAAAAAAGCUACGCGGUUGGAUAUGGCUAUUGGCGUGCGGUGCUGCCGGUAACGCCAUUUGCUUAAAUUGAGUGGCUGAGGGGGAAGAUCUCACCUACCUUUAUAUCUAUGGUAUUGUAAGUUUUUUUUAACAAAACAUUACCGUGGUUUUGGUGGAAGUGAGGCUUCCCCCUCCUCCCUUUAGGGGGGAGGCCAGCUAGGAAAGUGGGCCUUUUUUUGCCUACCUUUUUUUCGCAAGAAAUCACGAUCUGAAAUCAGACAAGAUUACCCGCUGAAUUUAA